AGUGCCCCAUCGUCGAGCUCCCACCCCCCAGCCUGCCUCUUCUCUUCGUGUGGCCAAGCUGGAAUGGAGGGCACGAUCAAUAUUCGUGGAGCCCCAGGCUUGGCCCAUCUAGUAGGCAUACAUUCAUUAGUUUCUUUUUUAUAUUUAUAUACAUACAAGGCCCAGCCCCAGGCGUGCAAGCAUAGCCCCAUGUUCAGCCCACAUAAGUUCCCACUUCCCAGCCCAAUGGAGAUGUCCUAUGCCACGACUCGAGACCACCAUAGUUGGUUUGGUUAGUAGCGAUUUCUAAGGAAUCGAUCAUCCAGUGUUUCGCCUCAUCUUUCGCCCAAUUGAUCAAAAAACAUCUCCGUUCACAGCUGCGCCGCCUCAGCCGCCCACCGUUUCCCAUGGGACAGAUCGGCGUCCCGUGUCUGUACUUGCGCCCAGGCGGCUGGCGCUCGCCGCUCAGAGCACGGAUCAUCGCCUCGUCGACUCCUAGCAGUGCCCUCCGGGCUCCAGCCCUUCUUCCUUAUCAUCUUCAGAAUCGGCUAGACAGCAAGACAGGACAGAAAAUAUUGUUCAAAAUCUAAGAUGAAGAGGAUUCAAACAAUUGAAGAGGAAAUAUUGUUCAAAAUCCUUGAUUCUGCUUUGUCACUACAGCAACCGUAGAAAGAGCUUUCUCAGCUAUGAGCAUUGUCAAAACUGAAUUGCGGAAUAAGAUGAAUGAUGAAUGGAUGAAUCAUCGUUUGGUGUGCUAUAUUGAGCGUGAUGUAUUUACAAGCAUUGAUGAUAUUAAGAUUAUACAGUGCUAUCAAAAAAUGAGGAAACAAAAGGGGCUACUACCUCGUGCACUUCGUGACAAUGCUCCAGGUCUUUCUACUAUUGCUGGUGAAGAAACAAUUGCCUAGAAUUAAGCAAGUCUUCAUCAAUUUGGUACCAAACAAUGUUUGUAAAAUGCACUUUGUUAAAUUAUUUGUUUUAUCAAAUUUUCUCUCAUGGUAAUAAGGAAUUUACAUUUCAUCUUUAAUGUGAAUUUGUGGCAUACUUCUAGCACAUGUUGGUGUGCAUGCUAUUUGACGUUAUUUUUAGUCAGUUAGUUUUAGCCCUAGGCUUUGAGAAAUCCUGACUCCGCCUCUGGGUGCAGCCAUGCAGGUCAUGCCGCUGUUGGCCGUGGAGAACGUGCCCCGCGCAGAAGUCAUGCUGGGCUCGCCGGAGACGCGCUGGCAGUGGCGCUACUGCGCCUCAAGCGCGUACCGGUGACCUCUAAGGCGUCGAGACCCGAACACGGCCGAGGUCUUGGCAGAUGGUGCCGAGCUUAUCAAGCCCGCCGUCAACAGCACCAGGCCGCACGUAGUGGCCCUGCUCGCGGAGCUUCGCUCCUACGACCUACUGUUCGAAUUCGCCACGCUCCUAGGUUGCCGAGGUUGCGCCGCUCCAGUUCGCUAUCUUCUCCGUCUUCCUCAUUUGUCACCGUGCCAAUCUCCCAGUCCCAGCUUCCCGGCUUCACCUACAUGUUCACUAGCUUCAAUGGUGAGUCGUGCCUGUAUUGUACGCCUGCGCCAUUGCUAACCUCGAGGACAGUGAUGCCCUCGUGAUCAAAACAUGCGUCGUCAUGAAGUGCUCCGGCACUGAGGAAGUCGUAGCAUGUGGCCGCUACAAGCAGUCCUUGUCGGCAAUACCACGGCAGACAGAGACAUCCAUCAACAGUCGUCAACCCGGAUGGAGGCUCGAAGUUAACGUGGAAGCGCCCUGUUGGGAAUAAGCCGUGCUGAGCCCGGUGUGCGGUGUGCGUGCGUGCGUGCGGUGGCCACAUCGGACUCGGGCCAGGGCGAGCUUGGGCGCGUGCGUGCGUGCCCAAGUGUAGGUGUGCGUGUGUGCGCGUGGCCGCGUGAGUUAGCUGGCGAGGUUUAGGGGGAGUGGACUGCGUCGGGCGCGCAGCAUGGCCGCGGCGAUCGCAUGCGUGCGUGAUCGGAGCGCGCGAGCCGGCGCGUGCGGGGCGUGGCGAGUGGAAGGUGGGUGCGUUCGAGCGUGGCCCGGCAUGUCGGACCUCGCGGGUAUAAGAUCCACUCCACCCCUGUGUAAUCGCUGACGAGAUCGAGUUCGUGCUCGAGGAGAAAUACAAAGAACCCGUUCGUGUGGGGGGUGGGCGUUCAUGCGCCGGCAAACUCUCUGUGUUCUUCCUCCUCCUCUCUGGUCGUGUGUUCGGUGAUCACCGUCGAGUGCUCGAGAUCGCUGCGCCAACAUUUGGUAUCAGAGCAAGGUGACGAAGCGAGCUGAAGGAGAUCGCCGGCGAUGGCUCUGGUUCCACACGGCGGAGGCAGCGCGGGCGGAUCGGUGUCCAUGGGGAUGCCGGUGCUCGCGCCGGACGGCUACACCCUGUGGGCAAUCAAGGCACGGGCGAUCCUUGAUGC